rnacentral:rRNA from 1 species
UACGUAGGGGGCAAGCGUUGUCCGGAAUCAUUGGGCGUAAAGAGCGUGUAGGCGGCCAGAUAAGUCCGCUGUGAAAACUCGAGGCUCAACUUCGAGCUGUCGGUGGAAACUAUUUGGCUAGAGUCCGGAAGAGGAGAGUGGAAUUCCUGGUGUAGCGGUGAAAUGCGCAGAUAUCAGGAGGAACACCAAUUGCGAAGGCAGCUCGCUGGGACGUGACUGACGCUGAGGCGCGAAAGCGUGGGGAGCGAACAGG